CAGUCGCCGCGGUAAUACGGAGGGUGCAAGCGUUAAUCGGAAUUACUGGGCGUAAAGCGCACGCAGGCGGUCUGACAAGUCAGAUGUGAAAUCCCCGGGCUUAACCUGGGAACUGCAUUUGAAACUGUCAGGCUGGAGUCUUGUAGAGGGGGGUAGAAUUCCAGGUGUAGCGGUGAAAUGCGUAGAGAUCUGGAGGAAUACCGGUGGCGAAGGCGGCCCCCUGGACAAAGACUGACGCUCAGGUGCGAAAGCGUGGGGAGCAAACAGGAUUAGAUACCCCCGUAGUCCUGUCUCUUAUACA
rnacentral:rRNA from 1 species